AGANGGCAUCAUGAGUCCGCAUGUUCACAUGAUUAAAGGUAUUCCGGUAGACGAUGGGGAUGCGUUCCAUUAGAUAGUAGGCGGGGUAACGGCCCACCUAGUCUUCGAUGGAUAGGGGUUCUGAGAGGAAGGUCCCCCACAUUGGAACUGAGACACGGUCCAAACUCCUACGGGAGGCAGCAGUGAGGAAUAUUGGUCAAUGGGCGAGAGCCUGAACCAGCCAAGUAGCGUGAAGGAUGACUGCCCUAUGGGUUGUAAACUUCUUUNNUNNNGGAAUAAAGUCGGGUAUGGAUACCCGUUUGCAUGUACUUUAUGAAUAAGAAUCGGCUAACUCCGUGCCAGCAGCCGCGGUAAUACGGAGGAUCCGAGCGUUAUCCGGAUUUAUUGGGUUUAAAGGGAGCGUAGAUGGAUGUUUAAGUCAGUUGUGAAAGUUUGCGGCUCAACCGUAAAAUUGCAGUUGAUACUGGAUAUCUUGAGUGCAGUUGAGGCAGGCGGAAUUCGUGGUGUAGCGGUGAAAUGCUUAGAUAUCACGAAGAACUCCGAUUGCGAAGGCAGCCUGCUAAGCUGCAACUGACAUUGAGGCUCGAAAGUGUGGGUAUCAAACAGGAUUAGAUACCCUGGUAGUCCACACGGUAAACGAUGAAUACUCGCUGUUUGCGAUAUACAGCAAGCGGCCAAGCGAAAGCGUUAAGUAUUCCACCUGGGGAGUACGCCGGCAACGGUGAAACUCAAAGGAAUUGACGGGGGCCCGCACAAGCGGAGGAACAUGUGGUUUAAUUCGAUGAUACGCGAGGAACCUUACCCGGGCUUAAAUUGCAGAUGAAUUACGGUGAAAGCCGUAAGCCGCAAGGCAUCUGUGAAGGUGCUGCAUGGUUGUCGUCAGCUCGUGCCGUGAGGUGUCGGCUUAAGUGCCAUAGCGAGCGCAACCCUUGUUGUCAGUUACUAACAGGUUCCGCUGAGGACUCUGACAAGACUGCCAUCGUAAG
rnacentral:rRNA from 1 species